CCAGACUCCUACGGGAGGCAGCAGUAGGGAAUAUUGCACAAUGGGGGAAACCCUGAUGCAGCAACGCCGCGUGAGUGAAGAAGUAUUUCGAUAUGUAAAGCUCUAUCAGCAGGGAAGAAGAUGACGGUACCUGAUUAAGAAGCCCCGGCUAACUACGUGCCAGCAGCCGCGGUAAUACGUAGGGGGCAAGCGUUAUCCGGAUUUACUGGGUGUAAAGGGAGCGUAGACGGCAGCACAAGUCUGGAGUGAAAUCCCGGGGCUUAACCCCGGAACUGCUUUGGAAACUGUGCGGCUGGAGUGCAGGAGGGGUAAGCGGAAUUCCUAGUGUAGCGGUGAAAUGCGUAGAUAUUAGGAGGAACACCGGUGGCGAAGGCGGCUUACUGGACUGUAACUGACGUUGAGGCUCGAAAGCGUGGGGAGCAAACAGGAUUAGAUACCCCCGUAAUU
rnacentral:rRNA from 1 species